rnacentral:tRNA from 1 species
GGUCCCGUAGCUCAGUAGGAUAGAGCGGCAGAUUCCUAAUCUGUAGGCCACUGGUUCGAAUCCAGUCGGGAUCACCA